ACACGAGAAGGGAGGUGGUCCUGAGUUGAUUUCUCAUAGGACGCGUGAGGUGGCUGCGCGCUAGCGCACUUCUCUUGCCGAGACUGCGCAGAGGCGCAAUCCCAGCAGCCCACCGCAGUCCGCGGGCCGUGCCGGUCGUCCCCGGUAUGCGGCGCCAUCCCGGCGCCAGGCCCGCGGGCUGUUCUUG
rnacentral:sRNA from 1 species